GCUUAUAAUAACAUAAUACAUUCUUCUACAAAAUAAACACCUUUCUUUGCCAAUUAUGGUUAUUAUCCACGACUUGAUAUUUUUGACUUUUUAGAAGCUGAUAAUCAUAUAGAAAAAGAUUUGGCAAAUUAUUUGUCAGAGGUACAUACAAUAAUGAAGGCGCAAUUAAAAGAAGCUCAAUAACAACAAAAGAUCAUUGCAAAUAUCUAUCAAAAGGAACAACCUCCAUUCUAUGUGGAUGACAAAGUAUGGUUACUUUGUUGCAAUAUCAAGACUACUCGUCUUUGUGACAAGUUGGAUUAUCGUAGACUUGGACCAUUUUUUA
rnacentral:lncRNA from 1 species